UGCAGCCAUGUCAAAUUCAGUGUCUGUCCUAAUGAUGGUGAACACUGGCCCAGAAGGCUGCCAUAGAAACUGUGACUCCUGAGCCCCGUUCCCAUGCUUGGUUCUGGGAUAAAUUUAGUCACAGACACCA